rnacentral:rRNA from 1 species
ACGGGGUGCAGCAGGCGCGAAACCUUUACAAUGCACGAAAGUGUGAUAAGGGAACCCAAAGUGCUAGUACAUUGUACUGGCUUUUUUCAAAGGUAAAAACUUUGAAGAAUAAGUGGUGGGCAAGACCGGUGCCAGCAGCCGCGGUAACACCGGCGCCACAAGUGGCAUCCAUGUUUAUUUGGCCUAAAGCGUCCGUAGCUGGUUUGAUAAAUUUCUUGUGAAAUUGCUAAGCUCAACUUAGCAACGUGCAGGAAACACUAUCUUACUAGGAACCGGGAGGAGUCAGAGGUAUUCCUUGGGGAGCGGUAAAAUGCUAUAAUCCUCGGAAGACCACCUGUGGCGAAGGCGUCUGACUAGAACGGAUUCGACAGUGAGGGACGAAAGCUAGGGGAGCGAUCCGGAUUAGAUACCCGAGUAGUCCUGGCUGUAAACUCUGCGAGCUAGGUGUUGCGCAUUCUUAGUGGAUGCGCAGUAUCGUAGCGAAGGCGUUAAGCUCGCCGCCUGGGAAGUAUGUCGCAAGGC